ACGGAGGGUGCAAGCGUUAUCCGGAUUCACUGGGUUUAAAGGGUGCGUAGGCGGGCAGGUAAGUCCGCGGUGAAAUCCUGGGGCUUAACCCCAGAACUGCCGCUGAUACUAUCUGUCUUGAAUACUGUGGAGGUGGGCGGAAUAUGUCAUGUAGCGGUGAAAUGCUUAGAUAUGACAUAGAACACCUAUUGCGAAGGCAGCUCACUACACAGCCAUUGACGCUGAGGCACGAAAGCGUGGGGAUCAAACAGGA
rnacentral:rRNA from 1 species